rnacentral:rRNA from 1 species
CAGUAGCCGCGGGAAUACGAAGGGUGCAAGCGUUGCUCGGAAUUAUUGGGCGUAAAGGGUAGGUAGGUUGUCUUGUUUGUCUAAGGUGAAAUCCCAUGGCUUAACCGUGGAAGUGCCUUAGAAACGGCAAGACUAGAGUCCUAGAGGGGUUUGUGGAAUUCCCGGUGUAGCGGUGAAAUGCGUAGAGAUCGGGAGGAACACCAGCGGCGAAGGCGGCAAACUGGAUAGGAACUGACACUCAACUACGAAAGCGUGGGGGUCAAACAGGAUUAGAUACCCCGGUAGUCCCUGUCUCUUAUAC